GAUGAACGCUGGCGGCGUGCCUAAUACAUGCAAGUCGAGCGAACAGACGAGGAGCUUGCUCCUCUGACGUUAGCGGCGGACGGGUGAGUAACACGUGGAUAACCUACCUAUAAGACUGGGAUAACUUCGGGAAACCGGAGCUAAUACCGGAUAAUAUAUUGAACCGCAUGGUUCAAUAGUUAAAGACGGUUUUGCUGUCACUUAUAGAUGGCUCCGCGCCGCAUUAGCUAGUUGGUAAGGUAACGGCUUACCAAGGCAACGAUGCGUAGCCGACCUGAGAGGGUGAUCGGCCACACUGGAACUGAGACACGGUCCAGACUCCGACGGGAGGCAGCAGUAGGGAAUCUUACGCAAUGGGCGAAAGCCUGACGGAGCAACGCCGCGUGAGUGAUGAAGGUCUUAGGAUCGUAAAACUCUGUUAUUAGGGAAGAACAAAUGUGUAAGUAACUAUGCACGUCUUGACGGUACCUAAUCAGAAAGCCACGGCUAACUACGUG
rnacentral:rRNA from 1 species